CGGCGGACGGGUGAGUAACACGUGGAUAACUUACCUAUAAGACUGGGAUAACUUCGGGAAACCGGAGCUAAUACCGGAUAAUAUAUUGAACCGCAUGGUUCAAUAGUGAAAGACGGUUUUGCUGUCACUUAUAGAUGGAUCCGCGCCGCAUUAGCUAGUUGGUAAGGUAACGGCUUACCAAGGCAACGAUGCGUAGCCGACCUGAGAGGGUGAUCGGCCACACUGGAACUGAGACACGGUCCAGACUCCUACGGGAGGCAGCAGUA
rnacentral:rRNA from 1 species